rnacentral:rRNA from 1 species
GACGAACGCUGGCGGCGUGCUUAACACAUGCAAGUCGAACGGAAAGGCCCUGCUUUUGUGGGGUGCUCGAGUGGCGAACGGGUGAGUAACACGUGAGUAACCUGCCCUUGACUUUGGGAUAACUUCAGGAAACUGGGGCUAAUACCGGAUAGGAGCUCCUGCUGCAUGGUGGGGGUUGGAAAGUUUCGGCGGUUGGGGAUGGACUCGCGGCUUAUCAGCUUGUUGGUGGGGUAGUGGCUUACCAAGGCUUUGACGGGUAGCCGGCCUGAGAGGGUGACCGGCCACAUUGGGACUGAGAUACGGCCCAGACUCCUACGGGAGGCAGCAGUGGGGAAUAUUGCACAAUGGGCGGAAGCCUGAUGCAGCAACGCCGCGUGCGGGAUGACGGCCUUCGGGUUGUAAACCGCUUUCGCCUGUGACGAAGCGUGAGUGACGGUAAUGGGUAAAGAAGCACCGGCUAACUACGUGCCAGCAGCCGCGGUGAUACGUAGGGUGCGAGCGUUGUCCGGAUUUAUUGGGCGUAAAGGGCUCGUAGGUGGUUGAUCGCGUCGGAAGUGUAAUCUUGGGGCUUAACCCUGAGCGUGCUUUCGAUACGGGUUGACUUGAGGAAGGUAGGGGAGAAUGGAAUCCCUGGUGGAGCGGUGGAAUGCGCAGAUAUCAGGAGGAACACCAGUGGCGAAGGCGGUUCUCUGGGCCUUUCCUGACGCUGAGGAGCGAAAGCGUGGGGAGCGAACAGGCUUAGAUACCCUGGUAGUCCACGCUGUAAACGGUGGGUACUAGGUGUGGGGUCCAUUCCACGGGUUCCGUGCCGUAGCUAACGCUUUAAGUACCCCGCCUGGGGAGUACGGCCGCAAGGCUAAAACUCAAAGGAAUUGACGGGGCCCCGCACAAGCGGCGGAGCAUGCGGAUUAAUUCGAUGCAACGCGUAGAACCUUACCUGGGUUUGACAUGGAUCGGGAGUGCUCAGAGAUGGGUGUGCCUCUUUUGGGGUCGGUUCACAGGUGGUGCAUGGCUGUCGUCAGCUCGCGUCGUGAGAUGUUGGGUUAAGUCCCGCAACGAGCGCAACCCUUGUUCACUGUUGCCAGCACGUUAUGGUGGGGACUCAGUGGAGACCGCCGGGGUCAACUCGGAGGAAGGUGGGGAUGACGUCAAGUCAUCAUGCCCCUUAUGUCCAGGGCUUCACGCAUGCUACAAUGGCUGGUACAGAGAGUGGCGAGCCUGUGAGGGUGAGCGAAUCUCGGAAAGCCGGUCUCAGUUCGGAUUGGGGUCUGCAACUCGACCUCAUGAAGUCGGAGUCGCUAGUAAUCGCAGAUCAGCAACGCUGCGGUGAAUACGUUCCCGGG